UACGGAGGGAGCUAGCGUUAUUCGGAAUUACUGGGCGUAAAGCGCACGUAGGCGGCUUUGUAAGUAAGAGGUGAAAGCCCGGAGCUCAACUCCGGAAUUGCCUUUAAGACUGCAUCGCUAGAAUCAUGGAGAGGUGAGUGGAAUUCCGAGUGUAGAGGUGAAAUUCGUAGAUAUUCGGAAGAACACCAGUGGCGAAGGCGGCUCACUGGACUGGUAUUGACGCUGAGGUACGAAAGCGUGGGGAGCAAACAGG
rnacentral:rRNA from 1 species